ensembl:lncRNA
GAUUAGACCCAGUAUUGAAAGAGAACAUUAGCUAUGUACUGCACAGUGCUCUGGGAAUAAGUGAAUAAAUACAGAAUGAACCGAUAAACUAAUAAGCCUUCAAAUCCAGAACAAGCUCCCGGAGCAGGUAAAAGCAGCUGAAUUCUUGAGUGUGAUCAGAAUCUCUUCCAAAGAAAAUCUCCCCCUCUUUGUGUGCUGUUUUCACCAGAGUAAGGAAGGAAUAGAGUCAUCCCUUGGUAUCCAUGGAGGAUUGGUUCCAGGAUCUCCAUAGAUACCAAAAUCCGCAAAGGCUCAAAACUUCGUUUUCCCUGAAUAUUUUUGAUCUGAGAUUGGUUGAAUCCGAAGAAUGUGAAGCCUGCAGAUAUGUCAGACUGAUGGUUUAUAGACUCUAUACCAGUGCUGUCCAAUAGAAACAUAAUGUAAACCACAAAUAUUA